GACGAAGGUGGCAACCGUUGUUCGGAAUCACUGGGCAUAAAGAGCACGUAGGCGGAACCGUAAGUCGGGUGUGAAAUCCCUCGGCCCAACCGAGGAACUGCGCCCGAUACUGCGAUUCUUGAGGGCAGGAGGGGAGCGUGGAAUUCCUGGUGGAGCGGUGAAAUGCGUUGAUAUCAGGAGGAACACCGGCGGCGAAGGCGACGCUCUGGCCUGCUUCUGACGCUGAGGUGCGAAAGCGUGGGGAGCAAACAGG
rnacentral:misc_RNA from 1 species